CUACAUGUACCGGUAGAUAGGAGCUUGCGGUAUACAUAUAAGAAAGCCCACAAGUUCGGAUCUACGGGUUAGUAUCAU
rnacentral:pre_miRNA from 13 species